CCAAUAGCGUAUAUUAAAGUUGUUGCAGUUAAAAAGCUCGUAGUUGAAUUUCGGGAUUAGUACGUUGGUCGUGCCUUCGGUACGUACUGGUGUUACUGAUUCCUCCUUCCUGAUGAGCUGUAAUGCCAUUAAUUUGGUGUUGCAGGGAAUCUGGACUGUUACUUUGAAAAAAUUAGAGUGUUUAAAGCAGGCUAACGCUUGAAUACAUUAGCAUGGAAUAAUGAAAUAGGACGUUCGAUCCUAUUUUGUUGGUUUCUAGGAUUGACGUAAUGAUUAAUAGGGAUAGUUGGGGGCAUUAGUAUUCAAUUGUCAGAGGUGAAAUUCUUGGAUUUAUUGAAGACUAACUACUGCGAAAGCAUUUGCCAAGGAUGUUUUCAUUAAUCAAGAACGAAAGUUAGGGGAUCGAAGACGAUCAGAUACCGUCGUAGUCUUAACCAUAAACUAUGCCGACUAGGGAUCGGAUGAUGUUAAUUUUUUAAUGACUCAUUCGGCGCCUUACG
rnacentral:rRNA from 1 species